rnacentral:rRNA from 1 species
CCUACGGGAGGCAGCAGUUAGGAAUUUUGCGCAAUGGACGAAAGUCUGACGCAGCAACGCCGCGUGGAGGACGAAGGCCCUCGGGUCGUAAACUCCUUUUGCACGGGAAGAUAGUGACGGUACCGUGCGAAUAAGCCCCGGCUAACUACGUG